rnacentral:rRNA from 1 species
AACGAACGCUGGCGGCAUGCCUAACACAUGCAAGUCGAACGAGACCUUCGGGUCUAGUGGCGCACGGGUGCGUAACGCGUGGGAACCUGCCCUUAGGUUCGGAAUAACUCCCCGAAAGGGGUGCUAAUACCGGAUAAUGUCUUCGGACCAAAGAUUUAUCGCCUUUGGAUGGGCCCGCGUUGGAUUAGCUAGUUGGUAGGGUAAAAGCCUACCAAGGCGACGAUCCAUAGCUGGUCUGAGAGGAUGAUCAGCCACACUGGGACUGAGACACGGCCCAGACUCCUACGGGAGGCAGCAGUGGGGAAUAAUGGACAAUGGGCGAAAGCCUGAUCCAGCAAUGCCGCGUGAGUUAUGAAGGCCUUAGGGUUGUAAAGCUCUUUUACCCGGGAUGAUAAUGACAGUACCGGGAGAAUAAGCGCCGGCUAACUCCGUG